rnacentral:rRNA from 1 species
CCUACGGGAGGCAGCAGUGAGGAAUAUUGGUCAAUGGGCGCGAGCCUGAACCAGCCAAGUAGCGUGAAGGAUGAAUGCCCUACGGGUUGUAAACUUCUUUUAUAAAGGAAUAAAGUGAGGCACGUGUGCCUUUUUGUAUGUACUUUAUGAAUAAGGAUCGGCUAACUCCGUGCCAUCAGCCGCGGUAAUACGGAGGAUCCGAGCGUUAUCCGGAUUUAUUGGGUUUAAAGGGAGCGUAGAUGGGUUGUUAAGUCAGUUGUGAAAGUUUGCGGCUCAACCGUAAAAUUGCAAUUGAUACUGGCAGUCUUGAGUACAGUUGAGGUAUGCGGAAUUCGUGGUGUAGCGGUGAAAUGCUUAGAUAUCACGAAGAACUCCGAUUGCGAAGGCAGCUUACUAAACUGCCACUGACAUUGAUGCUCGAAAGUGUGGGUAUCAAACAGGAUUAGAUACCCGAGUAGUC